rnacentral:rRNA from 1 species
AUGNCUCAGAACGAACGCUUGCUGCAUGCUUUAUACAUGCAAGUCGAACGGAGGCCCUAGCUUGCUAGGUGUCCUUAGUGGCGCACGGGUGAGUAACACGUGGGAACAUACCUCAUAGUACGGAAUAACUGCGGGAAACUGUAGCUAAUACCGUAUAUUCCAGAAAUGGGAAAGAUUUAUCGCUAUGAGAUUGGCCCGCGCAAGAUUAGCUUGUUGGUGAGGUAAUGGCUCACCAAGGCUCCGAUCUUUAGCUGGUUUGAGAGGACGAUCAGCCACACUGGGACUGAGACACGGCCCAGACUCCUACGGGAGGCAGCAGUAGGGAAUAUUGGACAAUGGGGGAAACCCUGAUCCAGCAAUGCAGCGUGAGUGACGAAGGCCUUAGGGUUGUAAAACUCUUUCAUCGGUGAGGAUAAUGACAGUAGCCGAAGAAGAAGGACCGGCUAAUUCCGUG